GAUAACCGAUCGCUGAUUACUCUAUGCAAAUCAGAGAGUGACUCGAGCUGCGCUGUCAUUGACUGCAGUGCAGUCACGUUUAAUGAAAUCGAAAUCGCAGUUGUAAUCGCACCACAUCGCCCAGCGAUUUGCAUAUGCUUGUAAUGCGAGUACGAACCGAGCCGAGUGGUGUGUGUGGUGUGGAUUGAAGUAUAGUGGAUGCGGAGCGGUGUGGACAGGUGAUAUGUCUUUUUGGACAGUCACCACCCCAAAUGGUGCGACCGAACGGCAUUACAUGGCCAGUAACAGCAACAGCAACAGCAGCAGCCUUGGAGAAAAGAGUCUUCCUUCUCGAUAGCUGACAGCUUGACAGGGACGCAGUUUUAAUCCGCGUGGCGUGGAAUUUAUUGCAGAUAAUUUGGCUCAUUUCAGGCGCUAUUCAUCAACGGGCGCAACAUUUUUAUUAUGCAACUUGAUGGAUGAUGCGGUCGCCUGCCGCCUGACAGUUUGCCAGCCUCGAAGACGAACACGAAGACGAAGACUGCGACUUGGAGCUGUAAUUAGGCAGCAUUGCGGGCAACUCUUCACCAGAGAUUUCCAGUCUGAGUCAGCCAGUCAGCCAGUCAGCGAGUCAGCGAGUGUUGACAGGCUGCCAGUUUGUGCUGCAUAAUAAAGCAGCGCCGUUUGGCCUUUUGUUGUCGCAUGCCCCAUGCAUGCAUCUCUAAGUCACCGUGCAGUUCCAGCGGCGAUUACGAAAUUGAAAUUCACAUUCGCGGAAGCCCAGAUUAAUCCCAUUGAUGAUCUCUUUGAGCAGCGCCGAGUCGUGCCGGCAGAUUUCGGCCAGCUUUCCGCGUAGACGACGUGUCUUUUUGCACAUUAGAUUUGGAUCGAGUAAAAUGUUUGUGCCCUCGGCCCUGAAAGAAAGGAAAAUUAGAGAACGCCUUAUUCAAAUUUAUGUGUAAGUGCAUAAGCAAGUCUGCUAGAUCGAUAUGCGUCAUAAUAAAUGAGUGUUUGGUAAAUUAA